CGGCAUCCUUCUGGGUAAGGUUGUAAACUCUGCCCUGGAUUGGAGGCCUCCCUUGAUUCUGGUUCCUAGGGCACUCCCUCGCAUAGUGCUGGGCACUACCGCAUAUGCGACAGGUGUUGUUGAGGCGGUAGCAGGGUCGGUCCCCAUGAUCCCUGCCGCAGUACUGGCAGAUCUUCCCACGAGCUGCCCCCAUAGCCUGAGGAGGGCCCUGAACGGCAGGCCUGGGUCUCUUACUGGGUUGGACAGACAUGGUAGGCGCUGGCCUGCGGAGCGGGGCUGAAGGUCG
rnacentral:lncRNA from 1 species